rfam:TPA: Bos taurus chromosome 3, whole genome shotgun sequence.
UCCCUGGUAGCUCAGAUGGUAAAGAAUCUGCCUGCAAUGCAGGAGAACCCUGGUUUGAUUCCUGGGUUGGGAA